rnacentral:rRNA from 1 species
CCUGGCGACCAUAGCGAGUGUGAACCACCUGAUCCCUUUCCGAACUCAGUAGUGAAACCGCUCCGCGCCGAUGAUAGUGUGGCAUUCGCCAUGUGAAAGUAGGUCAUCGCCAGGC